UGAGGAAUAUUGGUCAAUGGGCGAGAGCCUGAACCAGCCACGUCGCGUGAAGGAAGACUGACCUUACGGUUUGUAAACUUCUUUUGUAGAGGGGUAAUGGCAGAUACGUGUAUUUGCGUGAAAGUACUGUACGAAUAAGCAUCGGCUAACUCCGUGCCAGCAGCCGCGGUAAUACGGGGGAUGCGAGCGUUAUCCGGAAUUAUUGGGUUUAAAGGGUGCGCAGGUGGCUAAUCAGGUCAGUGGUGAAAAGCUAUGGCUCAACCAUGGUCUUGCCAUUGAAACCGUAUAGCUAGAGAGGAGACGAGGUAGGCGGAAUGUGUGGUGUAGCGGUGAAAUGCAUAGAUAUCACACAGAACUCCGAUUGCGAAGGCAGCUUACCAGGCUUUAUCUGACACUUAGGCACGACAGCGUGGGGAUCAAACAGG
rnacentral:rRNA from 1 species